rnacentral:rRNA from 1 species
GACGAACCGUGCGAACGUUGUUCGGAGUCACUGGGCUUAAAGGGCGCGUAGGCGGUCCGGCGCGUCCGGGGUGAAAGCCUCCAGCUUAACUGGAGAAGUGCCCCGGAUACGGCCGGACUCGAGUGGGGUAGGGGCGUGUGGAACUUCCGGUGGAGCGGUGAAAUGCGUAGAUAUCGUAAGGAAGACCAGUGGCGAAGGCGAGUCUCUGGACAGUUACUGACGCUGAGGCACGAAGGCCAGGGGAGCAAACGGG